AUUGAACGCUGGCGGCAGGCCUAACACAUGCAAGUCGAGCGGAUGAAGGGAGCUUGCUCCUGGAUUCAGCGGCGGACGGGUGAGUAAUGCCUAGGAAUCUGCCUGGUAGUGGGGGAUAACGUCCGGAAACGGACGCUAAUACCGCAUACGUCCUGAGCGAGAAAGUUGGGGAUCUUCGGACCUCACGCUCUCAGAUGAGCCUAGGUCGGAUUAGCUAGUUGGUGGGUUAAAGGCCUACCAAGGCGACGAUCCGUAACUGGUCUGAGAGGAUGAUCAGUCACACGGGAACUGAGACACGGUCCAGACUCCUACGGGAGGCAGCAGUGGGGAAUAUUGGACAAUGGGCGAAAGCCUGAUCCAGCCAGGCCGCGUGUGUGAAGAAGGUCUUCGGAUUGUAAAGAACUUUAAGUGGGGAGGAAGGGCAGUAAGUUAAUACCUUGCUGUUUUGACGUUACCAACAGAAUAAGCACCGGCUAACUUCGUG
rnacentral:rRNA from 1 species